GUAACAAGGUCUCCGUUGGUGAACCAGCGGAGGGAUCAUUACAGAGUUGCAAAACUCCAACAAACCAUCGCGAAUCUUACCCGUACGGUUGCCUCGGCGCUGGCGGUCCGGAAGGCCCUCGGGCCCCCGGAUCCUCGGGUCUCCCGCUCGCGGGAGGCUGCCCGCCGGAGUGCCGAAACCAAACUCUUGAUAUUUUAUGUCUCUCUGAGUAAACUUUUAAAUAAGUCAAAACUUUCAACAACGGAUCUCUUGGUUCUGGCAUCGAUGAAGAACGCAGCGAAAUGCGAUAAGUAAUGUGAAUUGCAGAAUUCAGUGAAUCAUCGAAUCUUUGAACGCACAUUGCGCUCGCCAGUAUUCUGGCGAGCAUGCCUGUUCGAGCGUCAUUUCAACCAUCAAGCUCUGCUUGCGUUGGGGAUCCGCGUCUGACGCGGUCCCUCAAAAACAGUGGCGGGCUCGCUAGUCACACCGAGCGUAGUAACUCUACAUCGCUAUGGUCGUGCGGCGGGUUCUUGCCGUAAAACCCCCAAUUUCUAAGGUUGACCUCGGAUCAGGUAGGAAUACCCGCUGAACUUAAGCAUAUCAAUAAGCGGAGGAAU
rnacentral:rRNA from 1 species